UUGACGGGACCCGCACAAGCAGCGGAGCGUGUGGUUUAAUUCGAUGCUACACGAAGAACCUUACCUGGGUUUGACAUAUAAGUUGUAGGGAACUGAAAGGGACCGACCUUCGGGAGCUUAUACAGGUGUUGCAUGGCUGUCGUCAGCUCGUGUCGUGAGAUGUUCGGUUAAGUCCGCUAACGAGCGCAACCCUCGCCGUAUGUUACAAGUGUCAUACGGGACUGCCGGUAAAAGCCGGAGGAAGGUGAGGAUGAUGUCAAGUCAGCAUGACCUUUAUAUCCAGGGCUACACACACGCUACAGUGGUCUGUACAAUUGGUUGCCAAGCCGCGAGGCGGAGCCAAUCCGUAAAGCAGGCCUCAGUUCAGAUUGCAGUCUGCAACUCGACUGCAUGAAGCCGGAGUUGCUAGUAACCGCAGGUCAGCAAUACUGCGGUGAAUACGUUCCCGGGUCUU
rnacentral:rRNA from 1 species